GAGUAGCUGGGACUCUAGAGGCGUGUGUCACCACACCCAGCUAAGUUUUGUAUUUUUAGUAGAGAUGGGGUUUCACCAUGUUUGCCAGGAUGGUCUCUAUCUCCUGACCUUGUGAUCCACCCACCUCAGCCUCCCAAAGUGCUGGGAUUGCAGGUGCGAGCCACCGGGUCCAGCCUCUCAGGCGAUUUUCAUACCUGCAUACUCUGAUCACUACGCUGUUAAACAGUCAAGGAGGGUAAGUAUUAUCUUCAGAUUUCCAGAGCUCUGUCUCUGUACAGCCCUCUCCUCCUCAAUAUUCUGCCCUAUGAAUUCUAGCCACAUUGGCCUUCCCAGACUCACAGUUCUGUCUUCUCAACUCAGGAAGAUCUCUGAGCUCCAUCUGCAUUCUUUCUUCCUGUGCUGUGGCUUGGAAAGUUUUCUAAGGUGUUUGGGAGGUCAAUUGUGGGGCUAGCCUCAUUUGUUUCUCAUCUCUUGAGGAUCACUGCCCUUUGAUGCUUGAUUCCAGUGAUUGAUUCCCUUUGUUGCUUGAGGGCCAUAGUUUCAUAUAUUUUGUCCAGUAUUUUUGUUGUUUUAGGUCAGAAAGUAAUUUUGGUCUCUGUUACUCCAUCUUGGCCAGAAGUGUAAGACCUAAGCAUUUACACAUCAAAAUACUGCACACAUAAUUUUAGUUUAAGCUACUUUUAAAAAAAUCUGCUUCAUUUUCCAUUAAGCAUUCUAUUUAGGGUAUUACAUUGUUUUUUUUGAAAUUCUGUUAUUGGCAGUUUCUAUUGCCUAUCAAUCCCAUUUAAAGAUAGUGCAUAGGGUAUUCUAAAAUAGCUGUUAAGCAAAGAGAAAAUUGGGCCUGAUAGGGUGAGAAUCACAGCUCUAAUACCUAGAGUGACCUUAUAAUGUAUUGUCCAAAGGAGAUAUUUUUGACAGUGAAAGAGGGUGUUGUUAGUAAUUAUAUCAGGACCAUGGCCUAAACCAGGACUAUCCCAGGCAGCCUGGGACAUAUUUGUACCCCAUCUCUAUUUAAUGCCUUUAUACAAUUCUUAAUUCUACCAGCCUUUAUUGAGCCUGCUUUCUUUGUCUAGCUGAGUGCCACGUGCUGACAUCACUAAGAUCAAUACAGCAAACUCUGAAAGAUGGACGGAGAGACAGGAGAUGGUCCUUUAUAAUGCAGUGUGAUCUGUGCUGCAAUAGAGUUUUGGAAGCUAGAAGUUCAAAACGAGGUGUUGGCAGCACCAUGCUCUCUCUGAAGAUGCUAGGAAGAAUCUGCUCCAUGCCUUUCCAUUCGCUUCUGGGGUUUCCUGCAAGCCCUGACAUUCCUUGGCUUGUAGAUACACCACCCCAGUUUCCGCCCCCAUCAUCACAUGGCCUCCUCUCUGUGUGUGCCUCUGCGUUCCCUCUAUUCUUCUUCUAAGGACACCGACACCAGUCAUAGUGGAUUAAGGGUCCACUCCUAACCAAUUACAUCUGCAACAACCCUAUUUCCAAAUAAAGUCACAUUCUAAGA
ensembl:lncRNA novel transcript